rnacentral:misc_RNA from 1 species
UGGUGAUGGCGUAGAUGGCGUAGAUGAUGCCGGGGAUGUAGCCGAGGAAGGUGAGGAGGAGGCAGAUCCAGAACUCGUGGCCGCACCCGUACUUGAGGAACACCCCCAGCGGAGGCAGGAUGAUGGCGAUCAGGAUGUCCACGCAGUUGGCAGUCCCCUCCGACAUGCUGCCGAUGCUUCUUCUUCCUCCUCUUCUUCUUCUCUGCCUUGGCUUGGCUUGGAUGGAUCGGAUUCCUUCUCUCCUUUCGCUUUGCCUCUUCCCUGGCUUCACUUUCACUUUAUAGGCAGGCAGACCUUGGACGAGAGGGAGGGCGAUG